AAACUUGAGAGUUUGAUCCUGGCUCAGAACGAACGCUGGCGGCAUGCCUAACACAUGCAAGUCGAACGAACCCUUCGGGGUUAGUGGCGCACGGGUGCGUAACGCGUGGGAACCUGCCUUUAGGUUCGGAAUAACCAGGAGAAAUCCUGGCUAAUACCGGAUAAUGUCUUCGGACCAAAGAUUUAUCGCCUUUAGAUGGGCCCGCGUUAGAUUAGAUAGUUGGUGGGGUAAUGGCCUACCAAGUCGACGAUCUAUAGCUGGUCUGAGAGGAUGAUCAGCCACACUGGGACUGAGACACGGCCCAGACUCCUACGGGAGGCAGCAGUGGGGAAUAUUGGACAAUGGGCGAAAGCCUGAUCCAGCAAUGCCGCGUGAGUGAUG
rnacentral:rRNA from 1 species